GAAUACAUUAGCAUGGAAUAAUGAAAUAGGACGUUCGUAUCCUAUUUUGUUGGUUUCUAGGAGUUGACGUAAUGAUUAAUAGGGAUAGUUGGGGGCAUUAGUAUUCAAUUGUCAGAGGUGAAAUUCUUUGGAUUAUUGAAGACUAACUACUGCGAAAGCAUUUGCCAAGGAUGUUUUCAUUAAUCAAGAACGAAAGUUAGGGGAUCGAAGACGAUCAGAUACCGUCGUAGUCUUAACCAUAAACUAUGCCGACUAGGGAUCGGAUGAUGUUAAUUUUUUAAUGACUCAUUCGGCGCCUUACG
rnacentral:rRNA from 1 species